rnacentral:rRNA from 1 species
AGGAUCAUUCGCAAUGGGCGCAAGCCUGACGAUGCGACGCUGCGUGGAGGAAGAAGGGCCUCGGCCCGUAAACUCCUGUCAUGGGGGAAAAAGGUCCCCAUGGUGAACAAUCAUGGGGCUUGAUGGUACUCCAAGAGGAAGCCACGGCUAACUCUGUGCCAGCAGCCGCGGUAAUACAGAGGUGGCGAGCGUUGUUCGGAUUUACUGGGCGUAAAGGGCGCGCGGGCGGCUCCGUGUGUCGGUUGUGAAAUCUCCGGGCUCAACCCGGAAAGUGCGGCCGAAACUGCGGAGCUGGAGCAAGGGAGAGGAAAGCGGAACUCAUGGUGUAGCGGUGAAAUGCGUUGAUAUCAUGAAGAACACCGGUGGCGAAGGCGGCUUUCUGGAACUUGGCUGACGCUUAGGCGCGAAAGUAGGGGGAGCAAACA